UACGUAGGGUGCAGGCGUUAAUCGGAAUUACUGGGCGUAAAGCGUGCGCAGGCGGUUUGUUAAGACAGAUGUGAAAUGCCCGGGCUUAACCUGGGAACUGCAUUUGUGACUGCAAGGCUAGAGUUUGGCAGAGGGGGGUAGAAUUCCACGUGUAGCAGUGAAAUGCGUAGAUAUGUGGAGGAAUACCGAUGGCGAAGGCAGCCCCCUGGGUCAAGACUGACGCUCAUGCACGAAAGCGUGGGGAGCAAACAGG
rnacentral:rRNA from 1 species